GUCUGUCUCUCUGAGGAUCAGGUCUGUCUCAGGAGCAGGUCUGUCUCUCAGGAGCAGGUCUGUCUGUCUCUCUGAGGAGCAGGUCUGUCUCUCUGAGGAGCAGGUCUGUCUCUCAGGAGCAGGUCUGUCUCUCUGAGGAGCAGGUCUGUCUCUCAGGAGCAGGUCUGUCUCUGAGGAGCAGGUCUGUCUGUCUCUCUGAGGAGCAGGUCUGUCUCUCAGGAGCAGGUCUGUCUCUCAGGAGCAGGUCUGUGGAGGUGUAUAGAGCCCUGGUAGCUAGUGCUAACCCUGUUAGGAGCAGACAGACAGCCAGCAGCUCUGCCUCCGAGGGCCGGCGGAGGCAGCGUGUCGAGGGCGCCGGGUCGGGGGCCAGUCCCAGGUGGUUCCUGGGACUCCUGGGGAGGUUUCGCUUAUGAAUUCUUUAUUUUAGCCUGAAAUCCCCUGCAAAAAUCCAGCUCCUCCAAACAAUAAUGAAACGUUUCAUGAACACCUCAGUUGGCCAUUUGGCCCAGAAGGAAGAAGGCUUACAGAGCUUCAGGGUCCUUCAGAGGAGAGACGCUGGGCCUCCUCUUGACCCAGGGGGCUGUGUGUAGCGCGCAGAACCAGGAGGAAACUGCUCUCACA
ensembl:lncRNA